AUCCAGCUGGUGAGUCCGAAAUAGAGCGAAAUGUGCGUCCUGUAU
rfam:Schistosoma curassoni strain Dakar, Senegal genome assembly, scaffold: SCTD_scaffold0004278